GAAAAAAUGCUCAGUCGUCCAAUAGGUGCGAACGAAAAGGGUUCUCAACCCAAAGCACAUUUUUAUCCUAAAUUUAAGUAAAUUAUACUGAACACUUUCAAUAAAAAAAGCGGUUGCCAUUCGACCCAUAUCUGGUACAUCAUUCGACACCGAACCCGUUAUUCUGCAGGUCCUUUUCGAGAUAAAGAAACGCUUUCUGGAUCAGCCGAAACCACCGAUAUGCUAGGCUGAAAAGAAAAGGCUGCUCCAAUGGAGCUGGAAUCAUCUGAAUGCCGGCGAGGACGAGAAGUUGCUGGUUAAGCUGGCGGAGCGAAUGCAGAGGCGUUUUCCGGACCUAUUUCCAGAACUGUAUGGUCCGGAGUGGUACUACUUCAAAUGCACGGACCCGCAGAGGACGAGGAUAAGAGCAAGGAGCUUCGCUACGGGUUCAUUUGCCCGCAAUCGCAUCCAUUCUGUACGACAUUCGCCGCCUCUGCUCGAGGAUCCUGCCUUAAGGCCUAGCUUAUCAAUUGGACGUGGGUCAUUGGCCUUUAAUUGUCGGGAUGGCAUAGGAUCCCGGACUACUUCAAGAGUGUCCUGAUGAGGACCCGCUGAUGUUUUCCCAGGAUGGGAUCAGAUGACUGAAACUGGAUCAGCGCGCCGCACAUCUCUAUGGGGAUGGUUUUAAUCUCCCCAAUGCGCCCUAUUAUGUCUUUUCUUUCUAUAUUUUGCCAAAUGGCACUCGCCCAAAUCCACCUAUGGAACGGCUAAGUGGAUAAACCCAUGACUUUUCCUCAAAUAUUUGAAUGCAAGUCUUGGGUUUAUCCACUUCCCCAUUCAUCAGGUGGAUUUGGGCCAGUUUCAUUUGGGCACUCGGUGUAGCAAGUGGGCAAGGCCUUGAUGAGGGGAUCGGGUGUAUCCUGUGGAUGCACUCGAUACCCUGGUCGGGGCCUUUGCCCAUUUGACAGCCUAGUGAGCCACUCGAUCAGGAUCUGAAGUGCCUGACCCAGGCGGAUGCUUUUGCCAAAGGAUCCAACGACUGGCAGGACUUGAUGGGCAAAUCAAUCACUAAAAGACAAGCUUGAUUUCAAAUUAUAGAAUGGGCACCGAGUUAGUUUGGAGAAGCAACGAUUCUAGGAGAGUCUGGAGCUACAGGAGGAGGAUCGAGUUCUCCGGAAGAACCGAAUGGAAAGCGAACGGACGUUUUGGAACGCAAAUAACCAAAAAGUAAAAAGACUGAUGACAGAUGAUAUGAUGCGCAUCAGGAAACUGGGACAUAAUCUUCUAUCAGAAUCGGAAAUGGAGGUAGUUUCCGACGAAGAAUCCUAAUGGAGAUGGUCGACUUCUUUACCCAAAAGGAAAGUUAGGAGCUGAAAAUACACUCCACUGAUAUGGUUAUUAAAAAAUGAAUGG